rnacentral:rRNA from 1 species
CCUACGGGAGGCAGCAGUGAGGAAUAUUGGUCAAUGGGCGCGAGUCUGAACCAGCCAUGCCGCGUGCAGGAUGACUGCUCUAUGAGUUGUAAACUUCUUUUAUACAAGAGUAAACUCAGGCACGCGUGUCUUUUUGUAUGUACCUUAUGAAUAAGGAUCGGCUAACUCCGUGCCAGCAGCCGCGGUAAUACGGAGGAUCCGAGCGUUAUCCGGAUUUAUUGGGUUUAAAGGGAGCGUAGAUGGUUUGUUAAGUCAGUGGUGAAAGUUUGAGGCUCAACUGUAGAAUUGCAAUUGAUACUGGCAGCCUAGAGAACAGUUGAGGUAGGCGGAAUGCGUGGUGUAGCGGUGAAAUGCUUAGAUAUCACGAAGAACACCGAUUGCGAAGGCAGCUUACUAAGCUGCCACUGACAUUGAGGCACGAAAGCGUGGGUAGCAAACAGGAUUAGAUACCCGAGUAGUC